GCCAUUAGACAUUGUGCAACCUGUCACUAAGCACUGACCAUUUAGUAGUGGCCUUUCGGCAUGCAUUCUGCACCAGAAUCAAUAGAGAUACACACCAAGUUUGACUUGACCAUCAAGCAUGAGCAGGAUGUUUCCAGCCUUCAGGUCUCGGUGGAUGACUUUGUUCUCAUGAAGGUAGAGCAGCGCAUCUAGAGUCUGCUUGCAUAUUACCCUGAUCUGCGGCUCAGUCAGCGGCCUCUCCAACUCUACACACACAGAUACACACACACACACGUACUGAACAUGCGUACAUGUUUAUAUAAAAAAAAAAAAGUCAUCCACAUUUUCCAAACAACACAUCUUUGUGGAAGGAAAAAACACAUGGAAAGCACCAUUAAAGCCCAGAUAAGGUUUUGUCAGGAAAUUUGAGCCAAGCUGACAUUACACCAUUAAAAAAAAAAAAUCUAUGGAUGAAUGAACUAGAAAAAACAUGUAAUAAAUACACAUUUAUAAAAUCAGAUUCAAACAUGCAAGCUAACUCGCGUUCACAAACAGCGACACACACAUUAAUUACAUCACUGGGUUUUUACAAAUCAUGAUUCACAAAUGCGGAACGCAAUGCAUAAAUACGUGUGUCAAUUUCUGUUUUCGCAUUUAUAAACUCAUUAAUGAAGCUGGGACGGAUUUGUGUAUGUCUACACUGUGCAACAUUAUUGACUGACUGUAAUUCACAAAUUAUAAUUUUUGUCAGAUAUGGCUUUUUAAUCCAGCCCCUCAUAAUGUGCUUUGCUUAAUACUUUGCACAGUUUCAUCAUUCCAAGAUGGCGACAUAAUCAGACUUUUGGUUCUUUGGUUGGGGGGGAUACAAAUGCAAAUAAAGUCCUUCUCAAAUCA